UACGUAGGGUGCGAGCGUUGUCCGGAAUUAUUGGGCGUAAAGGGCUCGUAGGCGGUUUGUCGCGUCGGGAGUGAAAACGCCGUGCUUAACACGGCGCUUGCUUCCGAUACGGGCAGACUAGAGGUAUUCAGGGGAGAACGGAAUUCCUGGUGUAGCGGUGAAAUGCGCAGAUAUCAGGAGGAACACCGGUGGCGAAGGCGGUUCUCUGGGAAUGACCUGACGCUGAGGAGCGAAAGUGUGGGGAGCGAACAGG
rnacentral:rRNA from 2 species